rnacentral:lncRNA from 1 species
GGAUCCCAAAUCCUGCGAAUUCCAGAUGUGGCCAUCCCAAACUGGACAUUAGCAUACAUUAGCAUACACUAUGCAGAUGUGGCCAUCCCAAAUUGGGUCAUUAGCAUACACUAUGCAGAUGUGGCCAUCCCAAACUGUGAAAUUUGCAUACACUAUGCAGAUGUGGCCAUCCCACACCGGGUCAUUAGCAUACACUAUGCAGAUGUGGCCAUCCCAAACUGGACAUUAGCAUACAUUAGCAUACACUAUGCAGAUGUGGCCAUCCCACACCGGGUCAUUAGCAUACACUAUGCAGAUGUGGCCAUCCCAAACUGGACAUUAGCAUACAUUAGCAUACACUAUGCAGAUGUGGCCAUCCCAAACUGGACAUUUGCAUACAUUAGCAUACACUAUGCAGAUGUGGCCAUCCCAAAUUGGGUCAUUAGCAUACACUAUGCAGAUGUGGCCAUCCCAAACUGGACAUUAGCAUACAUUAGCAUACACUAUGCAGAUGUGGCCAUCCCAAACUGGACAUUAGCAUACAUUAGCAUACACUAUGCAGAUGUGGCCAUCCCAAACUGGACAUUAGCAUACAUUAGCAUACACUAUGCAGAGGUGGCCAUCCCAAAUUGGGUCAUUAGCAUACACUAUGCAGAUGUGGCCAUCCCAAACUGGACAUUAGCAUACAUUUGCAUACACUAUGCAGAUGUGGCCAUCCCAAACUGGACAUUAGCAUACAUUAGCAUACACUAUGCAGAUGUGGCCAUCCCAAACCGGGUCAUUAGCAUACACUAUGCAGAUGUGGCCAUCCCAAACUGGACAUUAGCAUACAUUAGCAUACACUAUGCAGAUGUGGCCAUCCCAAACUGGACAUUUGCAUACAUUAGCAUACACUAUGCAGAUGUGGCCAUCCCAAAUUGGGUCAUUAGCAUACACUAUGCAGAUGUGGCCAUCCCAAACUGGACAUUAGCAUACAUUAGCAUACACUAUGCAGAUGUGGCCAUCCCAAACUGGACAUUAGCAUACAUUAGCAUACACUAUGCAGAUGUGGCCAUCCCAAACUGGACAUUAGCAUACAUUAGCAUACACUAUGCAGAGGUGGCCAUCCCAAAUUGGGUCAUUAGCAUACACUAUGCAGAUGUGGCCAUCCCAAACUGGACAUUAGCAUACAUUUGCAUACACUAUGCAGAUGUGGCCAUCCCAAACUGGACAUUAGCAUACAUUAGCAUACACUAUGCAGAUGUGGCCAUCCCAAACCGGGUCAUUAGCAUACAUUAG